rnacentral:rRNA from 1 species
UACAGAGGUCUCAAGCGUUGUUCGGAUUCAUUGGGCGUAAAGGGUGCGUAGGCGGCGCGGUAAGUCGGGUGUGAAAUCUCGGAGCUUAACUCCGAAACUGCAUUCGAUACUGCCGUGCUUGAGGACUGGAGAGGAGACUGGAAUUUAACGGUGUAGCGGUGAAAUGCGUAGGAUAUCGUAAGGAAGACCAGUGGCGAAGGC